AGACGAACCGGACGAACGUUAUUCGGAAUCACUGGGCUUAAAGAGUGCGUAGGCGGCUUUGUAGGUGAGGUGUGAAAUCCCACGGCUCAACCGUGGAACUGCGCUUCAAACCACAAGGCUUGAGGGAGGCAGAGGUAAGCGGAACUGAUGGUGGAGCGGUGAAAUGCGUUGAUAUCAUCAGGAACACCAGUGGCGUAGGCGGCUUACUGGGCCUCUUCUGACGCUGAGGCACGAAAGCUAGGGUAGCGAACGGGAUUAGAAACCCCAGUAGUCC
rnacentral:rRNA from 1 species